CCAACUUUGCACUAAACAUCAAUUGGCUUUUUUUACAGACGUACACGGGGAACAAUUUGUUUCUUUUUCGUAAUAUUUGAAGGUAUCUGUCCCCUUAAAAUCAAAAAGAUUGCUCGACCAUCAGCAGUUAAGAAAUUCAACAAUGCGGAAAACCCACGUAAAGGAUUAACAUUGCGAAAAACCUUAAAUAAGCCGAUAUUUAAACAGAGCGUUGUGACUGAUGCCCGUAAUAAAAUAAUACAAAAUAUAAAGUGUCAAAUAUCAGACGGUCAGCAGCAAAAAAUCAACCGAAAAUGGAUGGAUUUGUGAUGGUAAAUUACUAUAAAAUA